rnacentral:rRNA from 1 species
UACGGAGGAUCCAAGCGUUAUCCGGAAUCAUUGGGUUUAAAGGGUCCGUAGGCGGUUUAGUAAGUCAGUGGUGAAAGCCCAUCGCUCAACGGUGGAACGGCCAUUGAUACUGCUAGACUUGAAUUGUUAGGAAGUAACUAGAAUAUGUAGUGUAGCGGUGAAAUGCUUAGAGAUUACAUGGAAUACCAAUUGCGAAGGCAGGUUACUACUAAUGGAUUGACGCUGAUGGACGAAAGCGUGGGUAGCGAACAGG